AUGACGACCAAUCAUCACCUCCGCACCAACUAGGACGAUACAACAUGACCAAGUGCUAGCAAAGACCCGCCAAAAUGUUAAAUGCAAUACUAUGCAUAUAAACACCCCGCUUUUCCCCUAUAGAGAGCUGUGGAAAAAUGUUAUUGAUACUGUAUUUUUUUUUCCUUAGCUAUUGUAGGGCCACCGAAUGGUCUUUCGAAAUACUGCGAGCCCUCAGCAAGCAAUCAUUGCACUUAGUUUGUGGAGAUCAUCCAUUGUUGGGGAAUUUUCAGCAGUUUGGGAGCCCUGUUCUAAAUAUUCUGGGCCUUUAGCUCACCGUGAACUUUUCAUCAUGGUUUACACGGCUGAAACAACGCGUGGGUUGUAGGAAAAAGAUUACAGACCAACACAUGGCAAUGACCAAAAAUUCGGGCGAGCACGAAAUUUUGGAACCAAACGUUCGAUGAGAGCACAAGGGCUGGUUAGGCAAUAAGAGAUUAUCGUUGCAUUGAAAAAGAAGCCCAAUUGUAUAUUUAAAGCGUGGUAGUUUUUGCGCGCGAAAAUUUUCGCGUUGCCUCUCCUGCUUAGCCGUUCUUCCAAGGACCCGUCAGCAGGCAACGCAAAAUUUUCCGCAAAAGAUGAUACCAAUAGCCACCAGAGGGAGAUUGAUGGGACCGGGAUUAAGGAAUAAAUGCGGCCGGAAUAAUGGCUUCUGAACGACCCCUCUCUCCAGGGCCCCGAUGAUACUUUUCUUACUGUUAAGCACAAGUGUUUAUGUUCCGUAUAUUUCAUUUAAGUUUUUUCAUACUUUAUCAUACUCAAUCAAUAGGUCAAUGUUAGUUCAAUCGACCAGCAUGUCAACUUACUUGUUGUCGCCUUUAUUGCUUAGGAUACUACAGUAUUAACAUUAUAUUUUUCCACAAUCACCCGCUACUUGGAUAUGUAUACAGACGCUGCCCUGAAAUAUCAAACACACCAUGGGCUGGUGAUAGGUCAUAGUGGUACAUGUAAGGAGCCCGGGGUGAGAACGGUGCGAGGCGGAAAAACCUGGUUAUGAUCGCACAAUUUUGUGAAGCAGUCCGUAUCCAUACUAAGGGGUAAAGUCAGUGUGAAACACAUUUGAUGUCUUACGAUGUUAGUUGCUCUCAGCACAAACAUAAGCAACACAAGGACGUGUAAAGUAUUUAUAAGCACACAAAACUCAUUAAAACGCACGCAACAUAUGCUAAAAAAAA